AUGGGUCUCCCAGUCGAGACCCGCACGGGUAUUGAACCAGCAUCUGUAGCAACACAGCUUGUCUUAGACUGUUUGCGCCACCCAGGCGCUGAACAACGUGACCGAUCGGGAGUGGGCUACAGUAAUACAAUCUGCCAUGCACUCCACCACUGCCUGACAGCCUCACCCAGAAGACACUGGACUGACAAAGCAGAGAUGGGUGGCUGACAAGGUAAAACAAUAUGCACACACACACACAUUCUACACAAUGUAAAUAAUUUGGUGUUACUUGUUUUUUUUUAAUGUUUACUCCGUUUUAUUUUAGGAUUGUAGAUAUCUACUCCUUCAUAUCCAUUCUCAAUAUCUACAUAAUUACUCUAUCUAUCAAAUAAAAGUGUGAUUGAUAAUAUUGUAAAAUACUAUGGCUUAAUGUGUACAGUGAGGAAAUUCUGUGUGCUUUUUUCUGAGUUGAAAAACAUGCCUCCCUCACACACACACAUUGGACACAAUGUAAAUACAUUGUUUAUUUUAUGUAUGUCCAUUUUAUUUGAGGAUUGUGCGCAUUAAAGUACCUUCACAGUUAAAGCAACAGUUUGGUUUAUUGGAUAUUUCUCUGAUUAAAUAGGUACAGGGUUCCCAGGAGUUGCAGGAAAAUGUUUGUCUUGCAAAAGUAUUUAUGUGCCAAGGCCAUUCCCUGGCUACCCAUCCACAUCACUCAGGCCAAACAGAUGUUUGUUCUACACAAUGAAUGUACACUACCGUUCAAAAGUUUAGGGUCACUUAGAAAUGUCAGUUUUUGAAAGAAAAGCACAUUUUAUGUCCAUUAAAAUAACAAAAUUGAUCAGAAAUACAGCGUAGACAUUGUUAAUGUUGUAAAUGACUAUUGUAGCUGGAAACAGCUGCAUUUUAAUGGAACCAUCACUACUGUGUUCCAAUGGCAUGUUGUGUUAGCUAAUCCAGGUUUAUCAUUUUAAAAGGCUAAUUGAUCAUUAGAAAAUCCUGUUGCAAUUAUGUUAGCACAGCUGAAAACUGAUGUUCUGAUUAAAGAAGCAAUACAACUGGCCUUUAGACUAGUUGAAUAUAUACAGUUGAAGUCGGAAGUUUACAUACACUUAGGUUGGAGUCAUUAAAACUCAUUUUUCAUCCACUCCACAAAUCUGGGAGAAUUGUCAUCAACUGACACUAAGUAGCAUAACGCAACGGACAAAAAAUCUUACUAGAAAAUAUUCAUAUUCAUGAAAUCACAAGUGAAAUAUAUUCAAACACAGCUUAGCCUUUUGUUAAUCACCCUGUCAUCUCAGAUUUUGAAAAUAUGCUUUACAGCCAAAGCAAGACAAGCAUUUGUGUAAGUUCAAUAGCCUAGCAUAGCAUUAUGGCUAGUUUGCUGCAGGCAAUCUGGUCACGAAAAUCAGAAAAGCAAUCAAAUUAAAUUGUUUACCUUUGAUGAGCUUCGGAUGUUUUCACUCACAAGACUCCCAGUUAGAUAGCAAAUGUUCCUUUUUUCCAGAAAAAUUAUUUUUGUAGCUCCAUUAGUUCUUCACUUUGGCUGAGAAAACGCCCGGAUAUUGCGGUCACGACAACGCCGAAAAAUAUUCCAAAUUAGCUCCAUAAUAUCGACAGAAACAUGGCAAACGUUGUUUUUUCAAAUAUCUAUUCAAUAAUAUAUCAACCGGAACAGAGCUUUUUUCAGUAAGACCGGGUGGAAAAUGGCUACCUCUGUCUUUUGCGUGAGAAAUACACAAAAGGCCAUCAGGUGGACACUGACGAAAUAUUGUUGUACACGCUCAUUUUUCAAAAUAAAAGCCUGAAACUGUGAUUGUGAUACUAGACACAUUAAGGAAUCCAUAGAAAAAGGAAUCGCGUUGAUAUCCCAUUCACUGCUCAAUCGGGAAGGAUAGGAAGGGACUCUUAUUUAGAAACCGCUGUGUUCCUGUUUGGAUUUUUCUCAUUCUUUUGCCUGCAAUAUCAGUUCUGUUAUACUCACAGACAAUAUCUUUACAGUUUUGGAAACGUUAGAGUGUUUUCUAUCCUAAGCUGUCAGUUAUAUGCAUAUUCUAUUUUCUGGUCCUGAAAAAUAGCCUGUUUACUUUGGGAACGUUAUUUUUCCCAAAAUAAAAAAAUGACCCCUAGAUUCAACAGGUUUUUAACAAACUAUAGUUUUGGCAAGUCGGUUAGGUCAUUACUUUGUGCAUGACCCCCAUUCAUUUUUCCAACAAUUGUUUACAGACAGAUUAUUUCACUUAAUCACAAUUCCAGUGGUUCAGAAGUUUACAUACACUAAGUUGACCGUGCCUUUAAACAGCUUGUAAAAUUCCAGAAAAUGAUGUAAUGGCUUUAGAAGCUUCUGAUAGGCUAAUUGACAUAAUUUGAGUCAAUUGGAGGUGUAACCUGUGGGUGUAUUUUAAGGCCUACCUUCAAACUCAAUGCCUCUGCUUGACAUCAUGGGAAAAUCAAAUGUAAAUGUAAGACCUCUACAAGUCUGGUUUAUCCUUGGGAGCAAUUUCCAAACGCCUGGAGGUACCACGUUCAUCUGUACAAGCAAUCGUACGCAAGUAUAAACACCAUGGGACCAUGCAGCCAUCAUACCGCUCAGGAAGGAGACGCGUUCUGUCUCCUAGAGAUGAAAGUACUUUGGUGUUAAAAAUGCAAGUCAAUCCCAGAACAACAGCAUGUGCGGCACCCAUGGGCCUCCCGGUCGCGGCCGGCUGCGACAGAGCCUGGGCUCGAACCCAGAGAUAAUUGUGCAUAUCUUAACACGGUAUUAAUGCUGUUGUGUUUGUGUGUCUUUUUUGUUGCUUUCCAAAUCUUGUGCUAUUACUCUCUUAGGAACCAGGAGGAGAAAUUGGAGAAACUAAAAGCCUCUCCAGCUGACAUGGAGCAAGCCAGCAGAUUCAGCUGGAAUGGCAUUUUGUUGUAUGAUGAGAGAUGGAAAUAAAUUUGUAUGGUGUGAUAAUAGAACAGAUCCCAUAAGUUUCUGAGUUUGUAAACCAAACCUUGUUAUCAUUGUUAGUUAAUUUAUAAUUUUUAUUUUUUUUGUUCAUGUCUUGUUAUCAUUGUUUGUUCAUUUAUAAGUAAUUUCCAAGUUUAUGUAAGUUGAACAUUAGGAAGCUAUUGUUCCAGGCUGGGGCCUGUUAGAUUCUGGUUUAAACUUGAACAUUGUUAUACUCAGAAGCGUAGUAUACAACGGAGUAAAAGAGAGAGUGGUUUUUACAUCAGAAGUUAAUGGUAUCUGUAGGAGACAGAUGCCUGUGAAAUUGGGAGAUGGGUGGAGAUCUUUGGUCAGGUCAGUUUCCCUUAACUAGCUAACGUUAGCUGGCUGGCUCGUUAUGUGACGUGUGUGAUGUUACACGUUGUUUACCUAGCUAGGUUCAUUGUUUACCUAGCUAGCUACAUGUCUUAAACUAAAGUGUACAACACCCAUUGAAUAUGGCCGGUGUCAGUAAACAUCUGCAAAAAAGCGUAAUGAAAUUGUUGCCAGCAGAGCUGGUUAGGCAGUGUUCAUGUUAUCCAGAGGUAAAUAAAUCAUCAGUCAGAGCGUCAAAUGUGCGCGCCGAGAGCGAAACGAAAUGGGUGGGGCUAAAGCUUAAGAGGUUGUGAACAAUGCUGAAUGGAUGUAGACAAAGAAGUGCUCUGCACUAGAUGCCAAAACAUUCAAAGGUCAUUUUAUCAAACGUGAGUUUACAAGUUGAUCAACUUUCAAAGCAGAAUUAUCCAAUAUAAAAAACACAACAUUUGCUACAUAAGACCGAAUCCAGGUCGUGAGUCACAAAUGACUCAAAUUGAGUAACAAUAAAUAAUUUUGGAGAAAUAAUAUGAAUUGGCAUAUUAGGCAUAACACAAUUUUACCUUCUAAGAUACCAAAAUCUAGUUUUCGUUAUCCUAAAAAAAAAAUCUGAUUGUUUCAGUGCAUGCAUUCAACAAGGGCAUGAGACGAAGGAAUGUGGUGUAUCAGUGGAUAAAGUUUUGUGUAUAUGCUUUGGGGGUGCUCAUGGGGCUGGAGAUCGGAGGUGUCCGGUGAGAGAAAAGCAGGUUGAUGUUGCCAGGGUCAGAGUAGUACAGAAAGUGUCAUAUGCUGAAGCAGUGAAGAGAGUGGUAGAGGAAGAUGGGUACGGGGUGAGGGAUCAUGAUAGGAUAAGGAGGCAGAGACCAAUAGAGUGGGAGAGGAAUAAAUAUGUGCUUCAGUAAAGUGGGUUUCUUAGCAUUCAUAGUCAUGGUUAACUGUAUUACAAGGUUUUACUGCAUGAUAUUUAUUUUAAAUAGUAAAAUGGGGAGAGUUUAGUGAGGGCUAAUAGUUGGAAGGGUCAUUUUCCUUUUUCCCAAUUUUGUAUUAGCGGAAGUUCAUGUCGGUAGGCUGUGACUGGCCCCACACUCC
rnacentral:lncRNA from 13 species